rnacentral:rRNA from 1 species
AGAGUUUGAUCCUGGCUCAGGAUGAACGCUAGCGACAGGCUUAACACAUGCAAGUCGAGGGGCAGCGGGGGCGAAGCUUGCUUCGCCUGCCGGCGACCGGCGCACGGGUGAGUAACACGUAUGCGACCUGCCCCCCGCAGGGGGAUAACCGGGAGAAAUCCCGACUAAUACCGCGUAACGCCGCUGGGCUGCAUGGCCCCGCGGCCAAAGGAAGCGAUUCCGGCGGGGGAUGGGCAUGCGGCGCAUUAGCUAGUCGGCGGGGUAACGGCCCACCGAGGCGACGAUGCGUAGGGGUUCUGAGAGGAAGGUCCCCCACACUGGUACUGAGACACGGACCAGACUCCUACGGGAGGCAGCAGUGAGGAAUAUUGGUCAAUGGGCGGGAGCCUGAACCAGCCAAGUCGCGUGAGGGAAGACGGUCCUACGGAUUGUAAACCUCUUUUGCCGGGGAGCAACGGGGUCCUUGCGAGGGCUCGAUGAGAGUACCCGGAGAAAAAGCAUCGGCUAACUCCGUGCCAGCAGCCGCGGUAAUACGGAGGAUGCGAGCGUUAUCCGGAUUUAUUGGGUUUAAAGGGUGCGUAGGCGGGCUGUUAAGUCAGCGGUCAAAUGUCGGGGCUCAACCCCGGCCUGCCGUUGAAACUGGCGGCCUCGAGUGGGCGAGAAGUAUGCGGAAUGCGUGGUGUAGCGGUGAAAUGCAUAGAUAUCACGCAGAACUCCGAUUGCGAAGGCAGCAUACCGGCGCCCGACUGACGCUGAGGCACGAAAGCGUGGGUAUCGAACAGGAUUAGAUACCCUGGUAGUCCACGCAGUAAACGAUGAAUGCUAGCUGUCCGGUUCUACGGGACUGGGUGGCACAGCGAAAGCGUUAAGCAUUCCACCUGGGGAGUACGCCGGCAACGGUGAAACUCAAAGGAAUUGACGGGGGCCCGCACAAGCGGAGGAACAUGUGGUUUAAUUCGAUGAUACGCGAGGAACCUUACCCGGGCUCAAACGCCAAAGGACAGCCGUUGAAAGGCGGCCUCCCUCCGGGGUCUUUGGCGAGGUGCUGCAUGGUUGUCGUCAGCUCGUGCCGUGAGGUGUCGGCUUAAGUGCCAUAACGAGCGCAACCCCCAUCGACAGUUGCUAACGGGUAGAGCCGAGGACUCUGUCGAGACUGCCGGCGCAAGCUGCGAGGAAGGCGGGGAUGACGUCAAAUCAGCACGGCCCUUACGUCCGGGGCGACACACGUGUUACAAUGGCCGGUACAGCGGGAUGCCAGGGCGCGAGCCCGAGCGGAACCCGAAAACCGGUCUCAGUUCGGAUUGGAGUCUGCAACCCGACUCCAUGAAGCUGGAUUCGCUAGUAAUCGCGCAUCAGCCACGGCGCGGUGAAUACGUUCCCGGGCCUUGCACACACCGCCCGUCA